AAGGAGGUGAUCCAGCCGCACUGGGACUGAGACACGGCCCAGACUCCUACGGGAGGCAGCAGUGGGGAAUAUUGGCACAAUGGGCGAAAGCCUGAUCCAGCAAUGCCGCGUGAGUGAUGAAGCGCCUUAGGGUUGUAAAGCUCUUUUACCAGGGAUGAUAAUGACAGUACCUGGAGAAUAAGCUCCGGCUAACUCCGUGCCAGCANCCNCGGUAAUACGGAGGGAGCUAGCGUUGUUCGGAAUUACUGGGCAUAAAGAGUACGUAGGCGGUGAUUCAAGUCAGAGGUGAAAGCCUGGAGCUCAACUCCAGAACUGCCUUUGAAACUAGAUCGCUAGAAUUAUGGAGAGGUUAGUGGAAUUC
rnacentral:rRNA from 1 species